rnacentral:rRNA from 1 species
AUUGAACGCUGGCGGCAGGCCUAACACAUGCAAGUCGAACGGUAACAGGGAUCAGCUUGCUGAUUCGCUGACGAGUGGCGGACGGGUGAGUAAUGUCUGGGAAACUGCCUGAUGGAGGGGGAUAACUACUGGAAACGGUAGCUAAUACCGCAUAACGUCGCAAGCCCAAAGAGGGGGACCUUCGGGCCUCUUGCCAUCGGCUGUGCCCAGAUGGGAUUAGCUAGUAGGUGGGGUAACGGCUCACCUAGGCGACGAUCCCUAGCUGGUCUGAGAGGAUGACCAGCCACACUGGAACUGAGACACGGUCCAGACUCCUACGGGAGGCAGCAGUGGGGAAUAUUGCACAAUGGGCGCAAGCCUGAUGCAGCCAUGCCGCGUGUAUGAAGAAGGCCUUCGGGUUGUAAAGUACUUUCAGCGGGGAGGAAGGGAGUAAAGUUAAUACCUUUGCUCAUUGACGUUACCCGCAGAAGAAGCACCGGCUAACUCCGUG